rnacentral:rRNA from 1 species
GACGUAGGGUGCGAGCGUUGUCCGGAUUUAUUGGGCGUAAAGAGCUCGUAGGCGGCUCGUCGCGUCGACCGUGAAAACCCGCGGCUUAACUGCGGGCUUGCGGUUGAUACGGGCGGGCUAGAGUUCGGUAGGGGAUCACGGAAUUCCUGGUGUAGCGGUGAAAUGCGCAGAUAUCAGGAGGAACACCGGUGGCGAAGGCGGUGAUCUGGGCCGACACUGACGCUGUAGAGCGAAAGCGUGGGGAGCGAACAGG